rnacentral:rRNA from 2 species
GNNGGAGCUAUACAUGCAAGUCGAACGAGCUCUCCCAAAUUGAUUUUAUGCUUGCAUAAAUGAUUUUUGGAUUCGGAGCGAGUGGCGAACUGGUGAGUAACACGUGGGUAACCUGCCCCAAAGCGGGGGAUAACAUUUGGAAACAAGUGCUAAUACCGCAUAAUUAGUUGGAACCGCAUGGUUCCAACUUGAAAGAUGGCUCUGCUAUCACUUUGGGAUGGACCCGCGCCGUAUUAGUUAGUUGGUGAGAUAAAAGCCCACCAAGACGAUGAUACGUAGCCGACCUGAGAGGGUAAUCGGCCACAUUGGGACUGAGACACGGCCCAGACUCCUACGGGAGGCAGCAGUAGGGAAUCUUCCACAAUGGACGAAAGUCUGAUGGAGCAACGCCGCGUGAGUGAUGAAGGUUUUCGGAUCGUAAAACUCUGUUGUUAAAGAAGAACAAGUGUUAGAGUAACUGUUAACACUUUGACGGUAUUUAACCAGAAAGCCACGGCUAACUACGUGCCAGCAGCCGCGGUAAUACGUAGGUGGCAAGCGUUGUCCGGAUUUAUUGGGCGUAAAGCGAGCGCAGGCGGUUUUGUAAGUCUGCUGUGAAAGCCCUCAGCUUAACUGAGGAAGUGCAGUGGAAACUACAAAACUUGAGUACAGAAGAGGAAAGUGGAACUCCAUGUGUAGCGGUGAAAUGCGUAGAUAUAUGGAAGAACACCAGUGGCGAAGGCGGCUUUCUGGUCUGUUACUGACGCUGAGGCUCGAAAGCAUGGGUAGCGAACAGGAUUAGAUACCCUGGUAGUCCAUGCCGUAAACGAUGAAUACUAGGUGUUGGAGGGUUUCCGCCCUUCAGUGCCGCAGCUAACGCAUUAAGUAUUCCGCCUGGGGAGUACGACCGCAAGGUUGAAACUCAAAGGAAUUGACGGGGGCCCGCACAAGUGGUGGAGCAUGUGGUUUAAUUCGAUGCUACGCGAAGAACCUUACCAGCUCUUGACAUCUUCUGCCAACCCAAGAGAUUGGGCGUUCCCUUCGGGGACAGAAUGACAGGGGGGUGCAUGGUUUUUCGUCAGCUCGGUGUUCGGUGGAAAUGUUUGGGUUAAGUCCCGCCAACGGAGGCGCCAACCCCNNA